rnacentral:misc_RNA from 1 species
CCAGUGUCGUUAUCUGUACCUCGUAUGACUCGUGCUGUACAUGCAAAGCCUUUUAGCCGCUGCAAUAGAACACCCUAGAGCGUCCGGCGACAUGGGAUAGACCAACACUUCAUUUACUCAUUUAUUUAGAAGAUCUGGAGUGGAGUGGCGCUAUCAAGUGUCUUCAUGGCGGCUGCUGCCGUACGUUCUAACGUCUAUUCUCUCCCAGGCAACAUGAAGAAUGCAGCAUAUGAAGCUAUUUUAGGAAUAUAAGCCUGACGCUUGCGUUUGAAUUGACUUAAUGAAAUCUUUAUGAUAAGGAUAUAUAUCUAAGA